rnacentral:rRNA from 1 species
GAAUUUUGGACAAUGGGCGCAAGCCUGAUCCAGCCAUUCCGCGUGCAGGACGAAGGCCUUCGGGUUGUAAACUGCUUUUGUACGGAACGAAAAGGCUCUGGCUAAUACCUGGGGCUCAUGACGGUACCGUAAGAAUAAGCACCGGCUAACUACGUGCAAGCAGCCGCGGUAAUACGUAGGGUGCAAGCGUUAAUCGGAAUUACUGGGCGUACAGCGUGCGCAGGCGGUUAUGUAAGACAGAGGUGAAAUCCCCGGGCUCAACCUGGGAACUGCCUUUGUGACUGCAUAGCUGGAGUACGGCAGAGGGGGAUGGAAUUCCGCGUGUAGCAGUGAAAUGCGUAGAUAUGCGGAGGAACACCGAUGGCGAAGGCAAUCCCCUGGGCCUGUACUGACGCUCAUGCACGAAAGCGUGGGGAGCAAACA